GCAGACACAUUCCAGCCAAUCAGCAGCAGACCCUCCCUCCCAGACCCUCCCACCUCCUGGACAGCAUCCAUUUUGAAGCUGCAUUCUUAGUGAGCUGUCCAGGAGGUGGGAGGGUCUGGGAGGGAGGGUCUGCUGCUGAUUGGCUGGAAUGUGUCUG